rnacentral:rRNA from 1 species
CCCUUAGAUGUUCUGGGCCGCACGCGCGCUACACUGAUGCAUUCAACAAGCCUAGCCUUGACCGAGAGGUCCGGGUGAUCUUUGAAACUGCAUCGUGAUGGGGCUAGAUUAUUGCAAUUAUUAAUCUUCAACGAGGAAUGCCUAGUAAGCGUGAUUCAUCAAAUCGCGUUGAUUACGUCCCUGCCCUUUGUACACACCGCCCGUCGCUCCUACCGAUUGAAUGUGUUGGUGAGGAGCUCGGAUUGGCAGCAGUUGGUGGUUCGCCACCGGCUAUUGCUGAGAAGUCCUCCAAACCGCCCCAUUUAGAGGAAGGAGAAGUCGUAACA